rnacentral:piRNA from 1 species
UUGUGACUUACAUACUGGACCUUGG